CAAUAGCGUAUAUUAAAGUUGUUGCAGUUAAAAGCUCGUAGUUGAACCUUGGGCCUGGCUGGCCGGUCCGCCUCACCGCGUGUACUGGUCCGGCCGGGCCUUUCCUUCUGGGGGAACCUCAUGCCCUUCACUGGGCGUGUUGGGGAACCAGGACUUUUACUUUGAAAAAUUAGAGUGUUCAAAGCAGGCCUUUGCUCGAAUACAUUAGCAUGGAAUAAUAGAAUAGGACGUGUGGUUCUAUUUUGUUGGUUUCUAGGACCGCCGUAAUGAUUAAUAGGGAUAGUCGGGGGCAUCAGUAUUCAAUCGUCAGAGGUGAAAUUCUUGGAUUGAUUGAAGACUAACUACUGCGAAAGCAUUUGCCAAGGAUGUUUUCAUUAAUCAGUGAACGAAAGUUAGGGGAUCGAAGACGAUCAGAUACCA
rnacentral:rRNA from 1 species